GUAUUUCAGCUUCAACCUACCCUUUUAUCACAACACACGCUGGGGACAAGCAAUAAAAUGAUGGCUUUACAGCCCUCGGUAUGGGAAAGCUCUGCAUCCUACACUAGUUUUACAUCAUUUUUACAGACAACGGUGGGCACAGCCUUUUAGGUCACUCAGCAAAAAAAGCAAGGAUGAAAGCUCUGAAGCGGCCCCAUUUGAGAAGGGUCAGAGCUCUCCCUGCAUCUAAGGCUGACUCUGCAGAGCUGGAGCCAGAGCAAGGCACCAUCAGCUCCCAGCCCUGGGGACACCACAUGUCAGCACAUGGUCUCCAGUGGGACCUCCAUCUCCAGUACCUGCAGUGAUGCUCAAAAGUUUGAAAACACAGCUUUGGCUGCAACACACAGGCACUCAUUAGGCUUAAGAAAACUCUCGCUGCUUCCUCUUGUCUGUGAUAACCCGCAUUGCUGCCCUUUCUAAAGGCUAAGGAGACUUGUCACCCAAACUUGGGUUAGCACAAGGCAAUACAAGAAACAAGAGCCCUGAAACGCUAACAGCAACAACAAGCAGAAUUGGUAAUCAUCUACCCACUGCAGCAGCCCAGGAAACAUGCACACACUUCGUAUACUGACACCAGAUCAGCAAGUGCAAGCAAAAAGGUCAAAGCAGGCUAGAAAGCUACCACCACAGCAGAAAGUGCAAGCUGCUCUUUGUAUUUUAAAUGUUGUUGGGAUUUUACUACACACAGGUUAGGAAAUGAGAUGCUCACCAUCUUGUUUGGGAGCAAGCAGCCAACAAGGGAGCAUGAGUUAGCAGAAAUUCUUUCACUUUGUUGCCAGGUUUGCUGCUAUUAACUUCUACACUCACAUAUUUCUCAUUGAUAAAGUGGGAUCCAGCCCAAAGCCAGAAUUUGCUUUAGCACAGAAAUUUACUAUGAGUCAAGGGACUCCAAAACUGGUAUAACUAUGGAAAAUUUUGCUAGAUGUUAAGUAAUCAGUAUAAAGUCUUGACGUAUUUGUCUUAAGGAUAUAGUCAUAAUAUAUAGGUAAUCCUUUCUCCUGUUCUGUGAGAAAUCCUAUCCCAUAGCUGUCAGGAGAGUAUGAGGGAAUUGUUAUGUUAAAAUUAUGACAGGCUAUGUAAGCUUAUAAAAAACCUGCCUGCCAAAUCAUUCGCUUUCUAUAUUGAAGGAAUACUGUUACAAAACAGAAAGAACCUUAAAAAUACAUAUAAUUCUGUGAUUAUGUGAAAAAUAUGUAUAAGUUCGGCUACCCAUAAAUACAAACACAAGACUAGAGUUUUUAUACUUUAAAUCUUUAGAAUGAAGAGAAUACAUUUUAAAACUAAAAUUAGCAUAUUUCACUUUGAUAAACAUUGUGUAACAAAGAUACUUACUAGCUGCCAUUUCAGAAACAACCUUCACCAGAAGGAGCUUCACCUGUGGAUGGAAGAUUUUUAUGCCUGUGCGCAAAGCCUCUUCCCCCUUUGAUUGGCUUGUUUGAGAAUCACUCCAAUCAAUCAAUGUGUUUGGCUACUGAAAAGGGGGAAAGAAAAAAAAAAAAAGACGGGAAAGUUGAAACUGUUAAAUUGUUAAUAAGGUGGGGUGGGGAUAUAGAUGGUUCUUUAGGGUCUGUUGUGGUCUUUUUUUAAGUUUCAUUGUACAGGACAUGUUGUAAUAAUAAUGUCACUGAUAACAUUUUCUUUUGUUCUUAGCAUAGAGUAUUGAGAGUAUAACAGGCUCUCUAUUGUCUCAAAUACUUUCUCCUUGUGUUUGUAGUUAAGAAACUAAAUAUAACUUUCCUUUUUUUUUUUUUUUUUUUCCUGAUGUGAGCACAGUAAUACUGUGAUGUUUCAAUUACUUUCCUUUUGCUAUUGUCACACACGUACAUACCUGCUAUCAGAAUUGCAGUCACUGAGUUUUUUGGAUAGCAGGUUCUUUAAAUCAUUGUGUUUUAGAGUUGACUUUCUCAAAUGCCUAAAUAACUUUUUCACAUGCCAUUGAGUCCUUAGGUGUUUUUAUUUUUUUAUUAAUUUUUUUUUUUUUCCUAAGAAAAUACCCAAAAGAGAGCAAGUACAAUCCAGCCACUUGAGGGGAAGUGGUAUGAAAGUAGGACUUCUACCUUUUCAGCCCUUUUCUUCUAGGCUUUUAUUACAGCUUAUAAUGCCUGUGUAUUGCAAUCUGCUGGACUGAUGAGGAGAGUAUUCUCCAAAAAUUCUGGGAAGGAUUAUUCAUCAGUAAGCAUGCGAUGUUAUGAGAUUCCAAGCUAAAAGCAAUACAGAUAAAUAUCACAAUUAAGAAAAAUGUUGCUUUUUCUGAAUCUGAAAUUAAACUGUUGACUCAGCUUGCGAACUUCUCCUACACUUUAUUAAAUCUUCUCAAGUUAAUGCAGAAGUUCAAGUAGGUACUUCUAUCUUAUUCUUAAUACUCAGAAGUCUUCUCUUCUGAGAAACUCAAUGUGGGAACAUAGCGCUUGCUUUCUGGAUUAGCCCCACUUCUGCAGAGCUGAUCUCCUAUCAGGUGGUCAAUAGCUGACCUGUUGUCCUUCUGCCUAUCAGAUCAUAAGAUGCGUGCACAGUGGUAGCACUGAAAGCCUUGAACAGGAGCGAGCAUCCUUAAAUGAAUAUUGUGCAGUUAAACACUACAAAGUGUUCGUAAAUUAAAAAGUAAGUAGUAUUUCUUGUG